AGCAGCCGCGGUAAUUCCAGCUCCAAUAGCGUAUAUUAAAGUUGUUGCAGUUAAAAAGCUCGUAGUUGAACUUCAGACCUGGCUGGGUAGUCCGCCUUAACGGUGUGUACUGUCUGGCUGGGCCUUACCUCUUGGUGAACCGGCGUGCCCUUAACUGGUGCGCGUCGGGAAACCGAGACGUUUACCUUGAGAAAAUUAGAGUGUUCAAAGCAGGCUUAUGCUCGAAUACAUUAGCAUGGAAUAACAAAGUAGGACGUGCGGUUCUAUUUUGUUGGUUUCUAGAGUCGCCGUAAUGAUUAAUAGGGAUAGUUGGGGGCAUUGGUAUUGAGUCGCUAGAGGUGAAAUUCUUGGAUUUAUUGAAGACUAACUACUGCGAAAGCAUUUGCCAAGGAUGUUUUCAUUAAUCAGGAACGAAAGUUAGGGGAUCGAAGACGAUCAGAUACCGUCGUAGUCUUAACCAUAAACUAUGCCGACUAGGGAUCGGACGAUGUUAACUUUUCUUGACUCG
rnacentral:rRNA from 1 species